CUUGGUCAUUUAGAGGAAGUAAAAGUCGUAACAAGGUUUCCGUAGGUGAACCUGCGGAAGGAUCAUUCACAAUGAGUGUUUUAUGGCACUCUUUAAAAAUCCAUAUCCACCUUGUGUGCAAUGUUUGUUGGGAGAGAGGCAACUCUUUCCCUUCACAAAUAUCAACCUAUAUCUUUAACAACAUUCGUCUGAUAACAUAUUAUGAAUAUACUUAAUUCAAAAUAUAACUUUCAACAACGGAUCUCUUGGCUCUCGCAUCGAUGAAGAACGCAGCGAAAUGCGAUACGUAAUGUGAAUUGCAGAAUUCAGUGAAUCAUCGAAUCUUUGAACGCAUAUUGCGCUCUUUGGUAUUCCGAAGAGCAUGCUUGUUUGAGUAUCAGUAAACACCUCAACCUCCUCUUGAUUUUUCAAAAGGAGGGUGGACUUGAGCUAUCCCAACAACCUUCACCGGUAGGCGGGCGGCUUGAAAUGCAGGUGCAGCUGGACUUUUAUCUGAGCUAAAAGCAUAUCUAUUUAGUCCUCGUCAAACAGGAUUAUUACUAUUGCUGCAGCUAACAUAAAGGAUAAUUGUCCUCAUUGCUGACUGAUGCAGGAUUUUACGACACUUUAUGUGUUGUUCAACUCGAUCUCAAAUCAAGUAAGACUACCCGCUGAACUUAAGCAUAUCAAUAAGCGGAGGA
rnacentral:rRNA from 1 species